GACGUAGGGCGCGAGCGUUGUCCGGAUUUAUUGGGCGUAAAGAGCUCGUAGGCGGCUUGUCGCGUCUGCUGUGAAAUUUCGGGGCUCAACCCCGAACUUGCAGUGGGUACGGGCAGACUAGAGUGUGGUAGGGGAGACUGGAAUUCCUGGUGUAGCGGUGAAAUGCGCAGAUAUCAGGAGGAACACCGAUGGCGAAGGCAGGUCUCUGGGCCAUAACUGACGCUGAGAAGCGAAAGCAUGGGGAGCGAACAGG
rnacentral:rRNA from 1 species